AAUUUAAAGUCUAACCUGCCCACUGAUAAAUUAAAGGGCCGCAGUAUAUUGACUGUGCAAAGGUAGCAUAAUCAUUUGUCUUUUAAUUGAAGACUGGAAUGAAUGGUUGGAUGAAAUAUUAACUGUCUCAUUUUUAAAAGAAUAAAAAUUUAUUUUUUUAGUUAAAAAACUAAAAUGAAUUUAAAAGACGAGAAGACCCUAUAGAUCUUAAUAAUUAAUAAUUAUAUAAAAGAUAGAAUAAAAAUUAUUUUAUAUUUUAUUAUUAUUUUGUUGGGGUGACAAGAAAAUUUAAUUAACUUUUUUUAAUUUAAAAAACAAUGAUUUUUGAAUAUUUGAUCCAGUAUUAUUGAUAAUAAAAUUAAGUUACCUUAGGGAUAACAGCGUAAUUUUUUUAGAGAGUUCUUAUCGAAAAAAAAGUUUGCGACC
rnacentral:rRNA from 1 species